UCCUGCUGCCUGCUGAUUCCCGUGGACCGAGAGACUGGUAAAGGAGCUGACCACAUCCUGCACCAUCAUCUUCUUCCUGACUGGGACUAAGGACAGGUGAAAUUCUACGAGGGUUCAAGAUUUUCUUUUUGGAGCAAGAUUCCUCAUAGCCUCCUCCUUCUGACGCUGAACCCAGCGAUUCAAGGCGUCUGCCUUCUGCUUGUCCGUGGGGUCCAAGGUUGGCGGAAUUCUGUUAUGGCUAGCGAGAUAAAGGAUCCCAGAAUGCAGACCAGAAGGCAGCAUGUCGGCAAAAACCGAAGUCUCAUAAUCCUGGGGCAAAAAAUGUGUUGAACUGAGAGAUAAGAUGCCUCACUUCCAAACAGGGCGGUCAACAGAAGCUACAUCAUCGUCUAAAUAUGAAAGUGCAUUUAGGAUGCAGCACAAAAGGUUUUUUGUGUUAAUAAGUGUGUUUUAAAAUUAUUUUUCUGUUUAAAAACUGUACAAAUAACGGCCAAUUCUAAUUUCAUUGGGUUUUAUUCCUUUAGGAAUGUAAUGUUUUCUAGGUUUAAAAUAUGAUGUUUAAGACCUGGAAUGCUUACAAAACGCAUUUCAGCCCCUUUUCUGGUACAGAUCUUUUUGUUUUUUUUUUGGACAGCAGCAAGAUUACUGUGAUGUCAAAUCAUAUUCAUUAACUAUUCAAUAACCCUGUGCCAUUUAUAUUCAUUUAUUCAGGUUUUUCUUUAUGUUUGAUUACUGAAGGGUAAUUACAAACGUGUCUGGUGUCUUUAAUGUUAGAUAAGAAAAAUAAUACACAUUAUUAGGUACAUUAUAAAUAAUUUAUGACAUAAGUGAUCAUGAAUAUGCAGAUUUGAACAAUUGUUUUUUUCUGUUAGAUGUUCUAAAAUGAUCAUACACACAUGCUUGUAUUGGAAUGAUUCCUGGAUAUCAGAGAAUUCCCUGCUGUGAACAAAAGAGCACGGAUGUAAUGCACACAGCUUAACAAAGGAAAUUUGGAAAUACACUUGUAUCUGCACAUGCA